rnacentral:rRNA from 1 species
GUCUACAGUCAUGCCGCCCUGAACACGCCUGAUCCUGUCUGAUUAUGGAAGCUGAGCAAAGUCUAGCCUGGUUUAGGACUUGGAUGGGAGAUCACCUAGGAAGACCAGGUCCUGUAGGCA